rnacentral:rRNA from 1 species
CCUACGGGAGGCAGCAGUGGGGAAUCUUGCGCAAUGGGCGAAAGCCUGACGCAGCCAUGCCGCGUGAAUGAUGAAGGUCUUAGGAUUGUAAAAUUCUUUCACCGGGGACGAUAAUGACGGUACCCGGAGAAGAAGCCCCGGCUAACUUCGUGCCAGCAGCCGCGGUAAUACGAAGGGGGGCUAGCGUUGCUCGGAAUUACUGGGCGUAAAGGGAGCGUAGGCGGAUAGUUUAGUCAGAGGUGAAAGCCCAGGGCUCAACCUUGGAAUUGCCUUUGAUACUGGCUAUCUUGAGUAUGGGAGAGGUUAGCGGAACUCCGAGUGUAGAGGUGAAAUUCGUAGAUAUUCGGAAGAACACCAGUGGCGAAGGCGGCUAACUGGCCCAUUACUGACGCUGAGGCUCGAAAGCGUGGGGAGCAAACAGGAUUAGAUACCCUGGUAGUCCACGCCGUAAACGAUGAGUGCUAGUUGCCGGCAUGCAUGCAUGUCGGUGACGCAGCUAACGCAUUAAGCACUCCGCCUGGGGAGUACGGUCGCAAGAUUAAAACUCAAAAUGAAUUGACGG